GUUGGUUGUGCCAGCUCCGAAGCUAAAAGUCCCAAAAGGCAUUAUUAGAUGCUAUUUUAGCCAAGGUAAUAUGACAUAUUCCAUAAAAAUAAUCCCUAGAUCCUAAACAAAUAAAAUUGACCAAAUCUUUGAAGUUCUCUUUGAUGUGAGAUUCACCAAAAUGGCAUGGCAAUUGCAUUAAAUUGGGUUGAGUUUGGAUUGGUGUGCUAUGAAAUGAAGGGAUGUGUAUCUAAAUGAGAUUGACACAAUGGAUUUUCUUUACUUGGGUCGACUCAUGGAUGAACAUUGGAUUCACGAAUGUGAACGCAAACUGUAAGAACGAAAUUGGAAUAUAUGCUAAAAUAAGGCGACAGACAAUAUUUGGACAAGGAAUGUUCCCGUCCUCCACCUUUACAAGUCUGGAUCUCUAUCCAUCAAUAUAAAAUUAAAAUUCAAAUCCUUGAAUUUCGAAAUCCCAUUCAAAACACAACAUUAGUAAACCAAAAAUUUUCUCCUUCUACAAUUGACAAUGGC
rnacentral:misc_RNA from 1 species